rnacentral:rRNA from 1 species
UCUUAUGAAGUUAGCGGCGGACGGGUGAGUAACACGUGGGUAACCUGCCCAUAAGACUGGGAUAACUCCGGGAAACCGGGGCUAAUACCGGAUAACAUUUUGAACCGCAUGGUUCGAAAUUGAAAGGCGGCUUCGGCUGUCACUUAUGGAUGGACCCGCGUCGCAUUAGCUAGUUGGUGAGGUAACGGCUCACCAAGGCAACGAUGCGUAGCCGACCUGAGAGGGUGAUCGGCCACACUGGGACUGAGACACGGCCCAGACUCCUACGGGAGGCAGCAGUAGGGAAUCUUCCGCAAUGGACGAAAGUCUGACGGAGCAACGCCGCGUGAGUGAUGAAGGCUUUCGGGUCGUAAAACUCUGUUGUUAGGGAAGAACAAGUGCUAGUUGAAUAAGCUGGCACCUUGACGGUACCUAACCAGAAAGCCACGGCUAACUACGUGCCAGCAGCCGCGGUAAUACGUAGGUGGCAAGCGUUAUCCGGAAUUAUUGGGCGUAAAGCGCGCGCAGGUGGUUUCUUAAGUCUGAUGUGAAAGCCCACGGCUCAACCGUGGAGGGGUGGUUGGAAACUGG